rnacentral:misc_RNA from 1 species
GUCAAAUUAGGGAUUUUUUUUUUUUGUUCUUUUUGUAUUUAUUUUGUAAUUUGCAUUAUCAAACUGUCACACUGAUCAUCAGGCAAAACUCUAUGGUUUACGCCCUGGAUGGCUUCUUCCUCGUCGUCCCAAUGUAUUCAUUUUGAUUAAUUUAAGUUUUAUUUUUUUCGUUAAUUUUUGUUUCUAAUAAGCUACUUAUUUUCUUAUUCUCAUUUCUACUUAGGAUGUCUCUGAUGCCAAUGGAG